ACGCUGGCGGCGCGCCUAACACAUGCAAGUCGAACGAGCGAGAGAGAGCUUGCUUUCUCGAGCCGAGUGGCGAACGGGUGAGUAACGCGUGAGGAACCUGCCUCAAAGAGGGGGACAACAGUUGGAAACGACUGCUAAUACCGCAUAAGCCCACGACCCGGCAUCGGGUUGAGGGAAAAGGAGCAAUCCGCUUUGAGAUGGCCUCGCGUCCGAUUAGCUAGUUGGUGAGGUAACGGCCCACCAAGGCGACGAUCGGUAGCCGGACUGAGAGGUUGAACGGCCACAUUGGGACUGAGACACGGCCCAGACUCCUACGGGAGGCAGCAGUGGGAAUAUUGCACAAUGGGGGAAACCCUGAUGCAGCGACGCCGCGUGGAGGAAGAAGGUCUUCGGAUUGUAAACUCCUGUUGUUGAGGAAGAUAAUGACGGUACUCAACAAGGAAGUGACGGCUAACUACGUG
rnacentral:rRNA from 1 species